rnacentral:tRNA from 13 species
GGCGGGGUAGCUCAGAUGGUUAGAGCGUUGGAUUCAUAACCCAAAGGUCGGCAGUUCGAUUCUGCUCCCCGCUACAA